rnacentral:rRNA from 1 species
CAGCAGCCACGGUAAAACGUAGGUGGCGAGCGUUGUCCGGAAUCAUUGGGCGUAAAGGGAGCGCGGGCGGGCAUGUAAGUCUUUCUUAAAAGUUCGGGGCUCAACCCCGUGAUGGGAAAGAAACUACAUGUCUUGAGUACAGGAGAGGAAAGCGGAAUUCCCAGUGUAGCGGUGAAAUGCGUAGAUAUUGGGAGGAACACCAGUGGCGAAGGCGGCUUUCUGGACUGCAACUGACGCUGAGGCUCGAAAGCCAGGGGAGCGAACGGGAUUAGAGACCCCCGUAGUCCCUGUCUCUUAUACC